AUAGGUAUUCAUCUGCAGAGACACGAACGCAGUCUUCAUACAUGUUGGAUGUCCCUGGUAUCAUUGAGGGAAAUGCAGGUUGAACCAGGACUGAUCCACAGAAUGGUAUCUUUCAUGCUGCUGCACAAGUGAAAUCUGUUCUACAUGAUGUUAGUUUCAAGGAUGGGAAUGUAAUGUAACUGCGGUUACAUGUACAUGCACCGCUACUCAAUAUGAAGGAAGAUGUUGGGCAACCAAUUGCAAAGAAAAUGACAAGGAGAAAGUUUUGGUCAAAAUGGCAAGCUUGGGUCAUAGUCACAGUUACACUACAGAAGCACUUAGUAGGGAUGAGAUGGUCUUCAAAGAUGACGUCAUCAGGUGUGAAACUACAAUCCGUUAUUUAAGGUUAUUUUUAAUCAUUCAAAAUACAUAUAAAAUCAACCCAACUUCCCAUGAUAUGAUGUUUGCCCUAAUGUGGGAUUAAAAUUGAAAUAUUCAUUUCAUCCUGUGUACGUUUAGUCAUAUGACCCUUGCUUCGGGUUGAAACCAAAAGUUGCUUAUCAUUCGAAAUUGGUGAUAGAUAUUAACUUGCUUUCAAAGAUGUUAGUGUCUGGCAAGAGAGUAUGCUUCAAAACAUCACACCAUCCCUGCAAUCUCUUUUCUUGCUCUUUGCCUACAGUGAUAGAGUUAAUUCAGACUAUUUGUUUAAUGUUUAGCAACUUUGUGUCGUAACUAUUAUCUCGCAAAGUGUUACAGUGAAGAUAUUCCAAUAUUUUUGAGUCAAAAUAAAAGCAGAAAACCCUCUGCAUGUUGCAAACAGAAA